rnacentral:rRNA from 1 species
UGAAUACGAGAUGCUACGGCGUCGAAGCAGUGUAUGUCAGACUUCCAAGAAAAGCUCGCAAUGUCAUAAAUAAAGAAUGCCUGUACCAUAACCGACACAGGUGGGUAGGUAGAGUAUACUAAGGGGCGCGAGAUAACUCUCUCUAAGGAACUCGGCAAAAUAACUCCGUAACUUCGGGAGAAGGAGUGCCUUCUUUAAGAAGGUUGCAAUAACAAGAUCCAAGCAACUGUUUAUCAAAAACACAGGUCUCCGCUAAGUCGUAAGACGAUGUAUGGGGGCUGACGCCUGCCCAGUGCCAGAAGGUUAAAGAAGUUGGUUAGCUUUUGCGAAGCUGAUGACUGAAGCCCUGGUGAACGGCGGCCGUAACAAUAACGGUCCUAAGGUAGCGAAAUUCCUUGUCGGGUAAGUUCCGACCCGCACGAAAGGCGUAAUGAUUUGGAUACUGUCUCGGAGAGGGACUCGGUGAAAUAGACUUGUCUGUGAAGAUGCGGACUACCUGCACCAGGACAGAAAGACCCUAUGAAGCUUUACUGUAACUUGAAAUUGAAAUUGGACUUUAUUUGCGCAGUAUAGGUGGAAGGCGUUGAAAGUAAUCUUGCGGGAUUAGUGGAGCCAUCAGUGAGAUACCACUCCUAUAAUGUUAGAUUUCUAACUUUGGAUCAUGAUCUGGUCAAAGAACAGUUUCAGGCGGGCAGUUUGACUGGGGCGGUCGCCUCCCAAAUGGUAACGGAGGCGUACAAAGGUUUCCUCUGAACGGGUAGAAAUCGUAUCUAGAGUGUAAAGGAAUAAGGAAGCUUGACUGUGAGACCUACAAGUCGAGCAGGGACGAAAGUCGGUCUUAGUGAUCUGACGGUGCUGAGUGGAAAGGCCGUCACUCAACGGAUAAAAGUUACUCUAAGGAUAACAGGCUGAUCUCCCCCAAGAGUUCACAUCGACGGGGAGGUUUGGCACCUCGAUGUCGGCUCAUCGCAUCCUGGGGCGGUAGUACGUCCCAAGGGUUGGGCUGUUCGCCCAUGAAAGCGGUACGCGAGCUGGGUUCAGAACGUCGUGAGACAGUUCGGUCCAUAUCCGGUGUAGGCGUUAGAAUAUUGAGAGGAGCCUUCUUUAGUACGAGAGGACCGAGAAGGACAUACCUCUGGUGUACCAGUUAUCGUGCCAACGGUAAACGCUGGGUAGCUAUGUAUGGAGAGGAUAACCGCUGAAAGCAUCUAAGUGGGAAGCCCACCUCAAGAUGAGUAUUCUCAU